rnacentral:snRNA from 1 species
UACCUUGCGCAGUGGCAAUAUCGUAACCAAUGAAGGCCUCCUGAGGUGCGAUUAUUGCUAGUUGAAACUUUUAACGGGGCGGGUGUUGGUCUAGUGGUCAAGAGCGUGGCUUUGUAAUUAGGAGAUCGCCAGUUUGAAUCCCGCGUAUGACUACUUUUUAUUUGUGAGAAAAAAUUGUUUAU